AGCGAAUCCCAAAACGACAGUCUCAGUUCAGAUUGUAGGCUGAAACUCGCCUAUAUGAAGUCGGAAUUGCUAGUAAUCGCGGAUCAGCAUGCCGCGGUGAAUACGUUCCCGGGCCUUGUACACACCGCCCGUCACACCAUGAGAGUCGAUAACACCCGAAGCCUGUAGUCUAACCGCAAGGAGGACGCAGUCGAAGGUGGGAUUGAUAAUUAGGGUGAAGUCGUAACAAGGUACC
rnacentral:rRNA from 1 species